rnacentral:tRNA from 1 species
AAGCAUGUAGCUCAGUGGAUAGAGCAUCAGAUUCCGAUUCUGAAAGUCAAGGGUUCAAUUCCCUUCAUGCUUA